UUAGGGUCAUGGAUCAAAUAAAGUUUGUAUGGGCUAGGGUAAAUUUUGGGGUAUGACACCGGUCAAUAACAAUGUUUGUGCCAGACAAGUUAGAGAAUUAACAUAAAGUUAAUCUCAAGCAACAUGUUACACAAUGAUCAAAAAGAAAAGAAGAGAUGAAAGUAGAAAGAGUGAAAAUAAUAAUCAAUGCAAUCACAUAAGGAUCAUUCUAUCCACAAGGCAAAGGACUCAAAA
rnacentral:lncRNA from 1 species